rnacentral:rRNA from 1 species
UUGCCUUAGUAACGGCGAGUGAAGCGGCAACAGCUCAAAUUUGAAAGCUGGCUCCUUUGGAGUCCGCGUUGUAAUUUGUAGAGGAUGAUUCGGCAAGGGCUCCCGCCUAAGUCUCCUGGAACGGAGCGUCAUAGAGGGUGAGAAUCCCGUAUGCGGUGGGCUGCCUAAGCCAUGUGAAUCUCCUUCGACGAGUCGAGUUGUUUGGGAAUGCAGCUCUAAAUGGGAGGUAAAUUUCUUCUAAAGCUAAAUACCGGCCAGAGACCGAUAGCGCACAAGUAGAGUGAUCGAAAGAUGAAAAGCACUUUGGAAAGAGAGUUAAAAAGUACGUGAAAUUGUUGAAAGGGAAGCGCUUGCAGCCAGACUUGUCCGCAGUUGCUCAGCCGGUCUCCUGACCGGUGUACUCUUCUGCGGCCAGGCCAGCAUCAGUUCGGGCGGUCGGAUAAAGACCUCGGGAAUGUAGCUCCUCUCGGGGAGUGUUAUAGCCCGGGGUGGAAUGCGGCCAGCCUGGACUGAGGAUCUCGCUUCGGCUAGGAUGCUGGCGUAAUGGCUGUAAGCGGCCCGUCUUGAAACACGGACCAAGGAGUCUAACAUCUAUGCGAGUGUUUGGGUGUCAAACCCAUGCGCGUAAUGAAAGUGAACGGAGGUGGGAACCCUCACGGGUGCACCAUCGACCGAUCCUGAUGUCUUCGGAUGGAUUUGAGUAAGAGCAUAGCUGUUGGGACCCGAAAGAUGGUGAACUAUGCCUGAAUAGGGUGAAGCCAGAGGAAACUCUGGUGGAGGCUCGCAGCGGUUCUGACGUGCAAAUCGAUCGUCAAAUUUGGGUAUAGGGGCGAAAGACUAAUCGAACCAUCUAGUAGCUGG